GACCUCCUUUCUCUGUCUCAACGGUUGGAAUGCUGAGCCAACUGUAAACUUUCCUUUUGCUUCCAAUUUCCAGAAAGGCUUAUCAGCUUCGGCGUCUUCCAUUGGUGGGUAUAUUUCUUCUAGAAUAUAAUCAGCUAUGUUUUGAGGGAGCAGAUUUCUCAAUGUCCCUUCCUUCCAUUGUCCUCCUUCUACUGUCUCCUUGACUAAAACAAUAGUCUGAUCACAUUCAAAAUCAGGAGGGGUAAUGUGAUAUAAAGCUCUUAGACCUGUCCAAUUGUCUAGCCAGAAAUAUGAAUUGCCUUGCUUUAUCUGCCACCAAAAUUCAUGCUCCAUUUCAUCUCUACAUUUAAUCAUCUUCUUCCAAAUGUAAGUUCCUGUCUUGGUCCAUGCUAUAACUGCAUGACUUUUCUUUAGAUACUUAUUGCUCAUGUAAGUCCUCCAUAAAGAUUGUUUAGUCCUCAUGUUCCACCAUAGCUUAGCAAAUAGAGCCUUUGAUAUGUCUUGUAAACUUCUAAAUCCCAACCCUUCUUCUUCAUCUGGAUAUCAUAGAACUGUCCACGUGGCCCAGUGUAUGCUAGAGUUUCCCACAGAAUUACUCCAAAAGAAUUUGGCAAACAUCCUAUGUAGUUGAGCUAGAACACCAGCAGGAGGGUCAUAGGUUGAUAGUAAAUGGAUAGGUAUGCUUUGGAGGACAUGUUUAAUCAAAGUUGUUCUUCCCCCAAUAGAUAGCAUUUUACCAGUCUGUGAGCUCAAUCUGUUUUGCACCUUAUCCAACAAUUCCUUGUAAAAAAACAUUCUUUCUUCUACUAUAAUAUACUGGCACCCCCAGAUAUGUAAAAGGGAAUUCCUUCCUUGGUAUAUUAGUCACAGAAAAGACCAAAUCUACCAAUCCUUGAUCUGUCUGAUGGUGUAUGUAAACUGUACUUUUUGUCUUGUUAAUCUUCUGUCCACUCACCUUUUCAUACCCUGUCAAUGUCUCCAUCACUAGCUUUAGGGAAAACUCAUCAGCUGAGGAAAAAAUGAUUGUGUCAUCAGCAUAAGCUAGGUGAUUCACAUAAGGACUCCAAAUUGGCAUUCCAUACUCCUUAUAGUUAUCUUUCUGAUGUAAAGCAUUUAGAGCCCUAGAUAAACAUUCAGCAGCCAUGAUAAAGAGUGUAGGUGAUAAAGGAUCAACCUGUUUAACACCCCUAGAUGAUUUGAAAAAUCCUUGUGGUUGUCCAUUAACUAGUAUGGAGUACCAGUCAUUAGAAAUAAUUAUGUAGACCAUAUCAAUCAACAUCUCUCCAAAUCCAUCUUCCUGAGCACCUUGGUCAAAAAUAGCCAUGAAACCCUGUCAUAAGCCUUUGCCAUGUCAAGUUUAAUGACAACAUUGUCUUGCUUUCCCCUUAUUCUGAUAUCAUGUACUAUGUCCUGUACCAAUAAGAUGUUUUCUACAACACUUCUUCCCAUAACAAAUCCUUAUUGUUGUGGAGAAAUAAGUGUAGUUAGUAAAUUCACCAGUCUGUCAUUAAUGAUUCUGGAAAACACCUUGCUAGUGAAGUUACUUAAGCUAAUAGGCCUCAUGUCUGAAAAGGUAGUGAUUUCUUUUUUCUUUGGAAUCAAAACCAGAUUAGUACAAGUGAUCGAUAUACCUAGGUAGCUCGUGACCGCAGAAAAAAGAUUGUACCAUUCUUGUCAUAUCUUUAGCAAUAAUCUCCUAAUAUGAUUGAUAGAAUUUCCCUAUAAAUCCAUCUGGCCCUCCUGAACUAUCUGCAUUCAAACAAAAAAUAACACUUUUAACUUCCUCUUCCUCUGACACUUCAUGCACUUUGUUUCUUUGUUCUGCUGAAAUCAUCUGUGGGAUGUGCUGCAGCAUUUCAAAAUCAGUAGGACAAUUUUCCUCUCUGAAUUGCUCUGAGUAAAACCUGAUUGCCUCUUGUGCUAUAUCCUUCUCCUUGUCCAGCCAAAUUUCUCUAUGAUCUUGAAUCUUUUUUAAAUGUAAUCUCCUUCUCUUUCCAUUAACAUGGGCAUAAAAAAAUUUGGUAUUUCUAUCCCUAUCUUUGAACCAUUGCAUUCUAGCCUUUUUGCUUCUAGAAUUUCUCCUCUACAGCAUAGUACUUGAUUAAAUCUGGUUGUACCUUCUGUAAUCUCUCUCUGUUCAUACUUGUAGGAUGUUGUUCAAAUUCUUGCUCAUGUACCAUUACUAGUUCUUCAAGAGUGGCAAUUUGUUUGAAAAUAUCUCCAUAUGCCUCCUUACUCCACUUAGUUAAAGCCUUACUCACCUUCUUUUUUAUUGUGGAAAUUAAAGGAAGGGUCUGGGCUAUGCUAUUCUUGCCAUUCCUCCUUAACAAUGUCCAGAAAAGAUUUAUGUUCUACCCAGAAAUUUAGAAAUCUAAAAGAUUUCUUUAUUGCUCUGAUGUCUGAUCUUGUAGCUAUAGAUAGAGGACAGUGAUCUGAUCCCUGCUUAAUCAGGUGUUCCACCUCUAUGUUAGGGUACAAGCUUUGCAGAGCUUUAUUUCCCAAGCAUCUAUCCAAUCUCUUGAAAAUACAGGCAGCAUCUGAUCUCCCAUUCCACCAAGUAUCUCAAUGUAUUGCCCUUGCACUUCAGGUGUUAGCAUCUGCUGUUCAUCACUUUCUUUCAUGGCCCCAUCAAGUGGUUCUUCUGGUAUUAUUCGCCACAAUUGUUCCAUAUCCGGCCAUCCAUAAGAGAAUUUCCCCACAACUGCAUGCUGCAAAUUUCCAAUCACAUCCAUUCGGGCUACUUCAUCUUCAGUCCAUUUGACGUAGGGUUCCCUUUGUAAAAAAGAUAUUGGUUUGAUUGGUAUUUGUGGUAUUUGUUGUCUCUCUGGGUUUACUGUAUCAUUCAAAACUGCAGGUUUAAGUAGGCUAGCAUAUUGUAUUUUGGUAGGGUUGGUUUGUGGUAUAAUAUCAUCUGAUGUGGUUGUUAAUGAAGGCGUGGCCACCA